rnacentral:rRNA from 1 species
UACGGAGGAUGCAAGCGUUAUCCGGAAUUAUUGGGCGUAAAGCGUCCGUAGGUGGUUGAGUAAGUCAGUUGUUAAAGCGUGGAGCUUAACUCCAUAACGGCAAUUGAAGCUACUCGGCUAGAGUGCGAUAGGGGCAAGGGGAAUUCCCAGUGUAGCGGUGAAAUGCGUAGAUAUUGGGAAGAACACCGGUGGCGAAAGCGCCUUGCUGGGUCUGCACUGACACUGAGGGACGAAAGCUAGGGGAGCGAAAGGG